CAAUAAAUUAAUUAAAUAAAAGAUGAUUAUUUCUACAAAUAUUGCUUCAAAGUCUGGCAAUGACGUGCUGCCAUGCGACUGUGUCUAUUUUACAAGAAAACUUAAAUAUUAUAAUGAAUGAUGAUAAAUAGUGCAUGCUCACUAAGCCUCACUUGCCUCUAAGCCAAGGAGCUUUUGUAAGCUAAAAUAAGCCCAGGGUUGAAAGCUAUACCUAAAAUCCGUUUUCCAAAAACCGAAUUUAUUCCGAAUCGACUUUUCCUUUGUCGGAUUCCACGGGCGUUUUCUUCGACGAAAUGAGAAAAAUUUCGCGCGAAGAUAAGUUAGGAUUUCGCUUCACCAGAGAGUACAAGUCAGUUCUGCUCACUGGAAUCGCCCAUGUGUAGCCUGCUCGCAGUCCCCACCCGAAAAUUUGAAUUUCCGGUUCUCCUUUGAACGGAAUUUCGGGCUGUGAGCAGGCUACUCGUGCGCAACCAUCCGUAUUUCGCAGACACAAUAUCUCGCGAAGAAUUUCGCCGUCGUGGAAUCAGGCCUUAAGGAAAAAGUCGCUUCGCGCGAACAAAGGCGCCCAGUGGAAAACGGGCUUUAAUAAGCCACAGCUUUAUAAUAUUACAAAUUGACUGUUUAUACGAGUCGUUCGCGAUUAUUUAGCCAAGGCCUAUUUUCGGCCUAUAUUGCGCAUUGCAUUUUGCAUCCUAGACUACUGAUAUAGGACGGUUAAAACUCGAACUAUUGCGGUCUAUGUGCUGGUAGUUAUAGUCUCUCUAACGGACAUGCCGGGCAAUGGAGUUUAAAUCGAUCAAGUUGGAAAGGACGAUUAAAACCGUUAUCAUCCAAGUUAUUUUACAUUUUUAACCACAUCAUAUACACCUAAUUCAAUACACCCUUUCGAUUCUGCCAAUACUGUCUAGGCCUGGGAAACUUGCACCCAUGAACGAUGAGGAAAGGUGUUCACUAUUCAUGGAAACGAGGCUCUCGGGCCAAUGAGAGAUUUGCGACGUAAUAGACAACUUGCAUGUUAGACUAAUUUUUUAUCUAGGCAAAAAAGUAAAUCUCCGUAAAGAACUUAUUAAAAUUAGUAAAACUGCAAAAUUUGGUUAACGAAAUGUUGUAAAAUUGACGGAAAAUAUAUAGCCUUGUGAAGUUUGCAUAUUUUAUUAUGUUUGUAUUACGUGCGGAAAUUGUUACCAUU